UACGUAGGGUGCAAGCGUUAAUCGGAAUUACUGGGCGUAAAGCGUGCGCAGGCGGUUUGGAAAGAAAGAUGUGAAAUCCCAGAGCUUAACUUUGGAACUGCAUUUUAACUGCCAAGCUAGAGUAUGUCAGAGGGGGUAGAAUUCCACGUGUAGCAGUGAAAUGCGUAGAGAUGUGGAGGAAUACCGAUGGCGAAGGCAGCCCCCAUGGGACUAAGUACUGACGCUCUGCACGAA
rnacentral:rRNA from 1 species